rnacentral:lncRNA from 1 species
UCAGAGCUGAGAAAAAAAGACAAUUGCCUACAUAGAAUCCAGAGUUUCAUCUUCCACUCAAUUCAGUAACUCAAAGGGAGUAAAAGCCAAGAAUGAGCUUCGAUCUCCAGAUUAAUUCACUUAGUAGACUCUGAUUUUGUG